rnacentral:rRNA from 1 species
CGAAGGAUGCAAGCGUUAUCCGGAUUCAUUGGGUUUAAAGGGUGCGUAGGCGGACUGAUAAGUCAGUGGUGAAAUCUCUUUGCUUAACAAAGAAACUGCCAUUGAUACUGUCGGUCUAGAGUAUAGAUGACGUUGGCGGAAUAUGACAUGUAGUGGUGAAAUACUUAGAUAUGUCAUAGAACACCGAUUGCGAAGGCAGCUAACGAAACUAUAACUGACGCUGAGGCACGAAAGUGCGGGGAUCAAACAGGAUUAGAUACCCUGGUAGUCCGCACCGUAAGCGAUGAUUACUCGUUGUUGGCGAUAUGACAGUCAGCGACCAAGCGAAAGCGAUAAGUAAUCCACCUGGGGAGUACGCCGGCAACGGUG